UGGGGCGUCGCCAAGCGGUAAGGCACCGGGUUUUGAUCCCGGCAUACGCAGGUUCGAAUCCUGCCGCCCCAGCCA
rnacentral:tRNA from 3 species